GGUUAAACUUUGUUAUGUUUUGGUAAUACAGAUUUGCGUGGCAAAUUUGAUUUUGUGUACGUAUAUUACUAUUUUAUCAUGUUUCGGAUGAUUCAUGUUCCUGGAGAGGUAUCACCAGAAGAAAAAAAGAAAGCUAAAGAAGCAGUUAUAGAAAACGUCGCCGCUUUCUUUAUUUGGGUUGUUUUUAUAAGAGGGCUUCGGUAUGUCUUGAGGCGGUUCUGACUGCUGAUCAGAAGUGAAACGCUAUGAAGUGAAAUACCAAACAAAAGAUGGCAUUGAAAAGUUCCUGUAUUUGUCUGUAGCAGUCAACUAAUAAAAUGUGAAACGGCGUAUUUAACACAAAACUUGUAUUCGUUGCAUUAUAUCAUACUAUUCAAAAUAUAAGUUUCAUCGAAGUUAAUGAAGAAAUUGGCAGCAGCGCAAUAGACAUACACAGGUUGUGACUAUCUGUAAGACGUUUCAUUAAAUAAGGUAUACGGAACUUUUAUGGUUGGGAAACUAAUUGCAGUCAAGUGUAUCAGAAGACCCAACCCUCAGCAUAAUUUCCCUAUCAUGUUUAGAACAAGACUAGAGUUUUCAUAAGUGUGUUGUGUAAAAUAGCAGUAAACUGAAGCUGUCAUCAUAGUAAUUAAAGGAAUAUUAUCUUGGA